GUAGUGUUCUAGUCAGUCACAGGGAGGUUAAUGUGUUCUAGUCAGUCACAGGGAGGUUAAUGUGUUCUAGUCAGUCACAGGGAGGUUAAUGUGUUCUAGUCAGUCACAGGGAGGUUAAUGUGUUCUAGUCAGUCAUGGAUGACAACAAAGAACAGGUGCUUCAUUAUAAGAUUACUGGUUUUGGUUCUGCUGGUAUGUAGCUUGUUUUUGGUUGCACAUUCAGGAAUUGCUGAAGACUUGUAACAUUUACCUUGAUGCUAACUCUGCAAAUAGCACUGAUUUGAAAAGUCAUAGUCAAAUCGACCAAUAAUUGAAUAAUAC
ensembl:lncRNA